GACGUAGGGCGCGAGCGUUGUCCGGAUUUAUUGGGCGUAAAGGGCGCGUAGGCGGCUCUGCACGUCCGUUGUGAAAUCGCCCGGCUCAACUGGGCGGGGUCAGCGGAUACGGCGGAGCUUGAGCAAGCUAGGGGGCAAUGGAAUUCCCGGUGUAGUGGUGGAAUGCGUAGAUAUCGGGAGGAACACCAGUGGCGAAGGCGGUUGCCUGGGGCUUUGCUGACGCUGAUGCGCGAAAGCGUGGGGAGCGAACAGG
rnacentral:rRNA from 1 species